rnacentral:rRNA from 1 species
GACGAACGCUGGCGGCGUGCUUAACACAUGCAAGUCGAACGAAGAGCGAUGGAAGCUUGCUUCUAUCAAUCUUAGUGGCGAACGGGUGAGUAACGCGUAUCAACCUGCCCUUCAGAGGGGGACAACAGUUGGAAACGACUGCUAAUACCGCAUACGAUCUAAACUCGGCAUCGAGGAUAGAUGAAAGGUGGCCUCUACAUGUAAGCUAUCACUGAAGGAGGGGAUUGCGUCUGAUUAGCUAGUUGGAGGGGUAACGGCCCACCAAGGCGAUGAUCAGUAGCCGGUCUGAGAGGAUGAACGGCCACAUUGGGACUGAGACACGGCCCAGACUCCUACGGGAGGCAGCAGUGGGGAAUCUUCCGCAAUGGACGAAAGUCUGACGGAGCAACGCCGCGUGAGUGAUGACGGCCUUCGGGUUGUAAAGCUCUGUUGAUCGGGACGAAAGGCCUUCUUGCGAAUAGUGAGAAGGAUGACG